rfam:Schistosoma margrebowiei strain Zambia genome assembly, scaffold: SMRZ_scaffold0001140
AGCCUUCUAAAUCCGUGCCGAGAUUUCGUGAGACGCCAGACCAUCAGUACUAAUGAGACUCCUAAGAUAAACGAUGCC